UACGGAGGAUGCGAGCGUUAUCCGGAUUUAUUGGGUUUAAAGGGUGCGCAGGCGGGAGAUUAAGUCGGCGGUGAAAUUUUGCAGCUCAACUGUAAAAGUGCCUUCGAAACUGGUUUUCUUGAGUGUGGAUGAAGUAGGCGGAAUUUGUGGUGUAGCGGUGAAAUGCAUAGAUAUCACGAGGAACUCCGAUUGCGCAGGCAGCUUACUAAGCUACAACUGACGCUCAUGCACGAAGGCGUGGGGAUCAAACAGGAUUAGAUA
rnacentral:rRNA from 1 species